GACGGGUAGCCGGCCUGAGAGGGUGACCGGCCACACUGGGACUGAGACACGGCCCAGACUCCUACGGGAGGCAGCAGUGGGGAAUAUUGGACAAUGGGCGGAAGCCUGAUCCAGCAACGCCGCGUGAGGGAUGACGGCCUUCGGGUUGUAAACCUCUUUCAGCGGGGACGAAGCGCAAGUGACGGUACCCGCAGAAGAAGCACCGGCCAACUACGUGCCAGCAGCCGCGGUAAUACGUAGGGUGCGAGCGUUGUCCGGAAUUAUUGGGCGUAAAGGGCUCGUAGGCGGUUUGUCGCGUCUGGAGUGAAAACACCGGGCUUAACUCGGUGCUUGCUUUCGAUACGGGCAGACUAGAGGGAUUCAGGGGAGAACGGAAUUCCUGGUGUAGCGGUGAAAUGCGCAGAUAUCAGGAGGAACACCGGUGGCGAAGGCGGAUCUCUGGGAAUAUCCUGACGCUGAGGAGCGAAAGUGUGGGGAGCGAACAGGAUUAGAUACCCUGGUAGUCCACACCGUAAACGUUGGGAGCUAGGUGUGGGAUCCAUUCCACGGUCUCCGUGUCGCAGCUAACGCAUUAAGCGCCCCGCCUGGGGAGUACGGA
rnacentral:rRNA from 1 species